ACGGAGGGGGCUAGCGUUGUUCGGAAUUACUGGGCGUAAAGCGCACGUAGGCGGCUUUGUAAGUUAGAGGUGAAAGCCUGGAGCUCAACUCCAGAAUUGCCUUUAAGACUGCAUCGCUUGAAUCCGAGAGAGGUGAGUGGAAUUCCGAGUGUAGAGGUGAAAUUCGUAGAUAUUCGGAAGAACACCAGUGGCGAAGGCGGCUCACUGGCUCGGUAUUGACGCUGAGGUGCGAAAGCGUGGGGAGCAAACAGG
rnacentral:rRNA from 1 species